UACGUAGGGUGCAAGCGUUAUCCGGAAUUAUUGGGCGUAAAGAGCUCGUAGGCGGUUUGUCACGUCUGCUGUGAAAACUGGAGGCUCAACCUCCAGCCUGCAGUGGGUACGGGCAGACUAGAGUGCGGUAGGGGAGAUUGGAAUUCCUGGUGUAGCGGUGGAAUGCGCAGAUAUCAGGAGGAACACCGAUGGCGAAGGCAGAUCUCUGGGCCGUAACUGACGCUGAGGAGCGAAAGCAUGGGGGGCGAACAGG
rnacentral:rRNA from 1 species